rnacentral:lncRNA from 1 species
CGGGCGAUGGAUUAGGCUGCUUUGCUAAUACAGAUGUCACUAAUUUGUCACGGAUGUUUUUAGGUCUUCUGAAGGCCAUGACUGGUGGUGAUGAAAAUACUUUUUUUAGAUUUACAUCAUUUUCUAUAAUUUUCCAAUGCUUCUGAACAAUGGAUGACACAUUUUUAAAAUCAGGAUGGUAAGUGAGUACAAGGGGUGUUCUGUUAGCUGCUUUAUUCUUAUCUUUGUACUCAAGAAGUUCUUG